ACAACAACAUUCGGACCGUCGGUCUACCGAGCAAUAUCACCAGCUCGGUGGAAGAUCUUCCCUUUGUCUUAUAUU
rnacentral:pre_miRNA from 1 species